UACGUAGGCAGCAAGCGUUGUUCGGAAUUACUGGGCGUAAAGAGCGUGUAGGCGGUGCUCUAAGUCUGUUGUGAAAUCUCCCGGCUUAACCGGGAGGGUGCGGCGGAAACUGGAGUGCUUGAGGGUGGGAGAGGUAAGCGGAAUUCCUGGUGUAGCGGUGAAAUGCGUAGAUAUCAGGAGGAACACCUGUGGUGUAGACAGCUUACUGGACCACUUCUGACGCUGAGACACGAAAGCGUGGGUAGCAAACAGG
rnacentral:rRNA from 1 species